AUACUGAAUUUCGGUUUAGUAUUUUAGUGGCGCACGGGUGAGUAACGCGUGAGCAACCUGUCCUUCAGAGGGGGACAACGGCUGGAAACGGCCGCUAAUACCGCAUGACAUAUCCGGAUGGCAUCGUCUGGAUAUCAAAGGAGAAAUCCGCUGAAGGGUGGGCUCGCGUCCGAUUAGCUAGUUGGCAGGGUAACGGCCUACCAAGGCGACGAUCGGUAGCCGAACUGAGAGGUUGAUCGGCCGCAUUGGGACUGAGACACGGCCCAGACUCC
rnacentral:rRNA from 2 species